CUUUUUAUUUGUUAAAUGCUUAGUUUUUUCAAACCAUUUUAAUUUGUAUGCUGUAUUUUACUAAGUAAAAAUUUAGACGUUUUGGGUUUUUUUUGACACUUUAUACUUUAGAUACUGAAUGGAAAAAAAUUUAUAAAGUGUCUUUGAAAAAAUCAGCCAAGCAGACUAACGCUGGUUAUUUUAUUAUACAGUGAAGAGAAAUUGACAUUUUUUUUCUGUUCGCAGGUAUCAUGAAGAGUAAAGGCAAAAUAGAGACAGUUAUUGACAAAAUAAGUAAGCAAACAUGCUUUGCGGUAGAGAGAGCCUCUGAAAAUGGAGAUGGCCACGAUAGUUCCUCUACUCGAACUGAAACCACAUCGACUAUACAGCCUACUGAACUUCAACAAAAUGAACCCAAAAACAGAGAAGUCGAGAUAGAAGGGAAAGCGGACGGUUCUACUAAUAAACAUUUUACAGGAGACAAUCAAGGUUCGAAAGAUUUAAGUGCUAUAGCAACAAAUACAGAUAUCCACCAUCAACUGUCAACAACAAAAAGGAGACAUCAAGGCAGUGCUGAAGCUGACAAUAUAGCCAGGAUUUCUGUUAACGAUGGCAACCCUAAUAAGCUGUUUGACAAUAAAGAGGAAGUUGAUCAAGAUGAGAUGAAUAAAUACCAACCAAAUCAUUCAAGGAAAAAGCGACGUCAAGCUAAUAAAAAAGACAGCGACAUCGGGCCGAGUACUUUCUCCUCAAUUAAGACACAUGACGAAGAUUGCAGUUCUGACACAACCAACACAGACAGUGAAGUUGACGCUGAAACUGAUUCUAAAGUUUCAUACGAGGACUUGAGUGGUUCGGGUGAAGACUCGGGUGAAGACUCGGGUGAAGACUCGGGUGAAGACUCGGGUGAAGACUCGGGUGAAGGCUCGGGAGAAGACUCGGACGAAGACUUGGACAAAGAGUUGGACAAGGACUCGAACAAGGACUCGGACAAAGAUUCGGACAAAGACUCGGACAAAGACUCGGACAAAGACUCGGGUGACACUUCAGGUGAAGACACAAGUGAAGAUUCAGGUGAAGAUUCAGGUGAAGAUUCAGGUGAAGAUUCAGGUGAAGAUUCAGGUGAAGACUCGGUUCAGGACUCAGGUGGCGAUAUGGGCAAUGAUACAAACGAUAAUACAAGUAACGAUACGAGCGACGACUCUGAUGAUGACAAUACGAAUGAUAAUAUCAGCGACACCACUAUUGAUGAAGACGCCGUCGAUGAUUCAACUGAUGAUACAAAAGUGAGUACAACAGAAGAAUGUGGAGCAGAGUCGAACUCUAUCAGAAUAAGUUGUAAUGCUACAACUAGUGGCAUUGGAAAUACUUUUGUUAGUGCGACUUCAGAAACUCCUACGAGUCCUGAGGUUCCUGUAAAUCCUGUGAUUCUUACAAGAAAUAUGGUGCCUACAAUUAAUGCGAUUUCUAUGAGUUCUGUGGUUCCUGUGAGUUAUAUAGUUCCUACAAGUACUGUGGUUCCUACGAGUAAUUUGGGUCCUGUGAGUGCUAUAUUUCCAACAAGUCCUAUGAUACCUGUGAUUGCUACAGUUCCUACGAGCAAUGCGAAUCCAGUGAGUUCUAUAGUUCCUACAAGUCCUACAGUUCAUUCAGUCCCUGUUGUUGCUAUGAAUCCUACGAGUAAUGUGCUUCCUGUGAGUUCUGCAGUUCCUAUAAGUUACGUGGUUGCCACAGUUCCUACGAGCGAUAUGAGUCCAAUGAAUUCUAUAGCUCCUACAAGUCCUACGGCGGCUGCAGUUCCUGUUGUUACUAUGAUUCCUACGAGUAAUGUGCUUCCUGUGAGUUCUGCAAUUCGAACAAGUCCUGUGGUUACCACAGUUACUAUGAGUAAUGUGAGUCCUGUGGUUGCUACGAAUCCCGUGAAUCCUAGAAAUUCUUCCACUUUUUUCAAUUCUUCCACUUCCUCCGAGUCUACGAACCCUUCGAAUUUUGAUCUACCAAAUGAAAAUACCAGUGAAAAUGAGGAUGCUUCAGGAAAUGUGGUAGAAUUUUUUGAGUUUCAUCCUAUUUUCUGGAUUCACGGGAUGACCACUUUGACAACUCGAGUUCUAACUGCUCCUAGAGAUUGCAAUGAGGAAGAGCAACGAAAGAGAGCUUGUGAGAAAAUGCACGAGUGCCCACAUUUCGUACCUAUUAAGCCCGUGGCUGUAGAGCCCAAAGAUCUCCCUAAGAAUAGUGAGAAUAGUGAGAAUAAUGAGAAUAGUGAGAAUAGCGAGAAUAGCGAGAAUAAUGAGAAUAGUGAGAAUAUUGAGAAUAGUGCUAAAAUUUCCUCUAGCACACCAGAAAGAACUAAUGAUUCAGAAGAAGCUAGAGGUAGGGGUAGGGGUAGGGGUAGGGGUAGGGGUAGGGCUAGAGGUAGAGGUAGAGGUAGAGGUAGAGGUAGAGGUAAAAGAGCGAGAGCCGCAACUCGAACUCCAUCUCCAGUUUUGGUUCGAGAUACAUCUUCGGGUUUGGUUCCGGACUUGUCUCCAGUUGUUGCUCCGUCGAUAGCUAUGGCAUCCGAUUUGGCUUCAGCUUUGACUACGGCUUCGGCUAUGGCCACGGUUAUGUCUUCGUCUGCAGCUACGGCUUUGGCUUCGGCUACAGCUACGGCUACGGCUACAGCUACGGCUACAGCUACAGCUACAGCAAUGGCUGUGAACUCUGCUUCGGGUUCAGUUACAACUAAAUCUUCGACCAUGACUAGAUCUAUUUCUUCGUUUGGAAAAAAUUCUCAGAUUGAAAAUGCUAACGAGGCGACCUAUGCUGUUAAUACUGAAAAUUCUUCGAAAACUUUUCCAGAGACAACAAAUAUCAUUAAUAGACGAUCGCAAACUAUUUCUGAAUAUCCUUCAAAGGUUAUGAAAAUUUCGCAUUCCCAAAACCCGGAAAGCUUAUCUCUACCGAAUCAUAGUGUUUCCACUACGAUUAUGUCAUUAAUAAAUUACCCUGAUGCGACCGUCGCAACUCAAGAGCAACCUAACAGAAAUGGAAAUAAUAUAUACAUAAAACAAGAAGUCCAAAGCCCCUAUUGUUACCCUGGUAAAGUAUCGACAGUCUCUAUUCAACAAAAUGAAGCUGACCGAGAUAUCUUAGGUCUAUCACAAGUUCAAGAAUUUAAACUACCAGAUAAGAAAAUUUGUUAUACUUCAGGGAGCAAGCAAACACCUUAUUUCAGCUCUUUCGUCCAAUUCCCAAAAGUAGGGGUGGAUAAUCAGAUACGAGAAAACGCGGAAGCGUUAAUGGCUACCAGAAAUAAAUUAGAAACUACUCCAGAUAUAAUCUCGAACGAAACUAAUGGAACAAUACAUAUGCAUUUUCAGUUAAAUAAACCUCCGGAUGCUGUGUCUUGUUCUUAUUUUAGUUCUAGUUCUUGUUCUAGUUCUAACUCUUGUCCUAGACCUAGUUCUAUUGAAUACCAGAACUUGUUCGACACUGAAUGUAACAAACAACUACCUUGGAAAAAAAAUCAUCGAUUCAAGCACAUAGCAUCCGUACCUUAUAACAAGACAGCAUCAGCAUCAAAAAGAGUAUAUGCACAAACUGACAUGAGUGGAUCGCAAUCAUCAUCAGUAAAUUAUAAAUACAACGAACCUUUUUCUUUUGGAGGAGUCCUGUCGCGGCCAAUUUCUAUUGAAGGUCAACAUAUUCAGCAAAGCACUUCCCAGAUUCCACCACUGGCUCAUAAUAAUGCUACCCCAAUAAUUUCAUCUAUAGGCAGAGUUCCUCGAAGAGCCCACAGCAAUGAACCUAGUCAUUACUUUUCAGCACAUAUCCCAACCGAGUUUCAGUGUGUCAGUUCCGCAGAAAAUGAUAGAGUAUCAGACCCUUCACAGCUACCCGAGAAUCUCAAAGUAUACGGAGAAUCAAAUUUCAUUUGA
rnacentral:misc_RNA from 1 species